GCCUCGAUAGCCUAGUGGUUAGAGCCUCCGCCUCAGAUGCAGGGGGUCGUGGGUUCGAUCCCUCGCCGAGUCA